UACAAGGGGUGGAGGGCAGAAUCCUGAAACUUGAAGAGCUCACAAGUAGAGGUAGACUUGGGUCAUGCUUCUUCCUAGGGUGUAUCUGGACAAAAGAAAUUAAGUGUCAUAAAAAUACUAAGGACCAAGAAGAAACCAUAACUGAAGGCACUGAGGGAGCUCCCUGGAGAGGAUGUCGUUUGAGUAAGUCCCACUGGAUAAGAGAGUGGAAAUAGGCAGAAAGGAGAGAUUGGAAGGUAGGUUAUUCCUAGAACUAGAGGAAGAGCAAAGCAGUAGAGAUGGAAGGCUGACAAAAAGUAUUUGGGGAGCUGCAGGUUAAGUGUGUAUUAUCAGAAGCAGCUUUUUGCAGAAGGAUUGCUUGAGGCUGUUAAGAGCCAGUUAUGUUCAGACCAUAGAUCCUGAGCCACAAAAUUCUCUCACCCUCUUCUCAGUUGGGACAGCACACUGGCAAGGUUAUGGCUCUAUUUUGGAAAGGCUAGAUUUUCUUCAUAAUAUUUUUCUAUUGAUUGAUUGAUUGUCUAUUUAGGGCUGUAUCUGAGGCACAUGGAAGUUCCCAGGCUAGGGGUCGAAUCAGAGCUGUAGCCACUGGCCUACACCACAGCCACAGCAAUACAGGAUCCGAGUCAUGUCUGUGACUAUACCACAGCUCACAGCAAAGCUGGAUCCUUAGCUCAGUGAGGCCAGGGAUUGAACCUGCGUCCUCAUGGAUAUUAGUGGGUUCAUUACUGCUGAGCCACAGUAGGAACUCCCAAGAUUUGCUUUUCAUAUUGGUUAAUGUUUUUCAGAGUACCCAGGAUAACAUUUAAGUCUGCCUUGAAGGGUGAUGGAUGCAAGCAGAGUUUUAAAGAUUUUGAUUUAAGGAGGAAGAAAAAGAGAAGCAGAAUUAGGUUUCCUGACAUCUAGACCUUACCAGCGCUUAUUCCACAUUUUUUAUAACACUUGCCAUAUUGUAUUUUAAUAUUUCACUUUAUGUGUCCCAGCUCCUUCCCCUCACCUCCAGUUGGUGAGCCUCUUUUAAGGAUAGGGGCUCUGUCCUACUCAGUUUUGUGUCACCAGACUCCAUUUGGUCCAAAUAAUAUUCGGGAAGUAUUAAGUAAUAAAUACCCCAAGAAGUGGUGAUUGACCUCACUGGUCGUGUGAACUGUCUUUUUAAAAGGAACGAUCUUCCCAGGCUCCCCAAAUUUGCAGAUGUUUUGGCAGCUGAGUUAUUAGUGAACUUUACGUUUUAGCCUCACCUAAAGUCAUGAAUGGAGAUUCCUUCUUCUCGUUCUGUCGUUCCAUGCCAUGCCGCCCUGUCUUAUUUUAGGCCAGUACGUAUGAUUCACAGUGGGAACACCUUUAGAUAAAUUAUUAUUAUUUCUUCUAAAGGCAGGUGGAGAUACUUUUUUUUAAAAAAUCAAUAUCAGUACUAUAAAAUAAUCGUUUUUCUAGUCUAUACCUGGAUUGCCUGUAUAGUAAUUUUGUAUUGAACUACGCACUUUUGUAGAAAAUAAGAUGGAUAUUCCCCUCAGAGUGCAAAUUUGCUGAAGUAUGAUAAGAUGCUAAUUCAUCUUUUCCCUUAAAUCUUUUUUUUUCCCCUCUGGUUUCUAGUUAAGCAUUUAUUAAAUCGUUAGGAAGAAAAUUUAGGUCAUCUUUUUUUUCUUUUUUUUUUUUUUUUUUUUUAAUAUACAUUGACCUAGUUACUUUUUCUUUCUAAGCAGCCGUUUAAACUAGAUUUGUUGAGGAAAGUGGUUGUUUCAGUCUUGCAGUAGGUCAUAGAACACAGAACAAUGAGGAGAAUUUGCAAAGUCCAGCUAUGCUCUGCUGCUCCUUUCUCCCCUUCCGUGUCUUUGAUUCUGCCCCUUCCCUUUGGAUACCAAGGUCUUGCUAGACCAGGGCUGUACCUAAGUGACUUUUUUCAUGUAGUUAGUCCCAUUAGGGACUGUCUUCAAUUGAAAACCACUUGAUUGAUAUUACUUGGUGAUGAUUCUAGAGUCAACAUGUUGCUUGGAUCUUUCCCCCAGUUAAAGGGCACAAUAUAAGGAAUACCUGGUUCAUGAGUAAGGAACAUAAACAACAGCAGUACAUGAUAUUCAUCAUCAGGCGGUUUGAAAGUAAACCUGUAAUGCCCUCAAUUGUCUCUCUGGGAGUUGCAUUUUCAGAGACCUAAAAUAGGAUAGCAGUGUGGGUGUAGUCUUGAUAGAGGAAAACUCUCUAUCGUUGCUUUUUUUUUGGCAGAAAUUUUUCUUUUGCUUUCACAAUUAAUCACAAACUUAUUCUGGAGGGUUAUACAAGAAGUGCCCCAAAUUUCUUGGAAUAAUCCUGCGAGAAGACUUUUUGGUCACAGAACAUCUCACUUCUACAUGAUGGAAAAUUUUUGAUGGAAUAUAAGCACAUGCUCCCUUAUUCUACUGCCAGCCUUACUGCAAAAUUAUGGCUGAAAUAUACAGACCUCUUAGAAAAAAAUUGUCUCUGUUAACAGUCUUCCACUGUUUUUGUUUUUAUCCAGCCAAUUUGAAUUUCAGGGUAAACGCAGCUGAAUAAAACAUGUCAUGCAAAUUUUGUUUGAUCUGGUUUACAUUUUUACUUCUAACGAGGCCCCGAUUCUUAAAUCAGCCAACUCGAACUAAUAAUACAGCAGAAAGGUGAUGUACCGUAACACAGCCAGCUUUUCCUGUUCUGGGGGAUUAUGGUCUUCAGUUGCCUACUUUCUUGUUUGUUGAGCAAACCUAUCUCCCUUAGUUGUGCAGUUUUUGAAAAUGGUUCUAAUUUCCUGACAGUGCCCUGGGGAUCUAGACGUGGGCUUGGCGGGAAGACUAAGAACCGCCUGCCUUUCCCUCUCUUGAUGCAGCACCUUCGCUUCUUUCUUUCUGCAGCUGCACUUCCCAUUGCUCUCUUGGCCCUAUUCCUGCUACUUUGGUCACCUCAAUGCUGUGAAUACACCAACUGGUUCUCUGACUUUCCAUUUGAAUCUCCCGCUCCACCUGGAAAAGCCACAGUUCUCAUGUCUACUGUGUGAAAUCAUACCAUCUCCUACUUGAACCCUUUCCCAAACCCCUGGGUCCCUUUCUCCCUCCGCACUUUGCUGGCAUUAUGGUUGGUACUGUUUCUACUGCAGCCAUUCCCUUUUCCUUAUUCCUAGGAUAAUUUGUGCACAUCUUAUCUUCUCUGCUAAGCUGUGCAUGCCUAGAAAGUGGAAACUGGUCGUUGUUUACUCCGGAGAGUACAGUUCAGUACCAGGAGCUGGAUGAUUCCUGGAGUGCAUGAGCGCAGAUAGUAUCUUAGGGAAGCUUCAUUGACGUUAGCCAACUGCAUCCCCUCUGUUUGUAUUGCUUUCCUCCACCCCACAUUCCAGAGGGAGCAGGCACAGCACAGAGGUGCAAGCCCUGGGCUCUCCCUGUCCUGUGUGUAGGUUAAGCCAGCCAGAGGCUUGCCAACAAGGGCCCUGAUAAAAGCAAGCCACAUCCAGGACAUGAGACAAGAAAACACAGGCAGUUUGUUUUGAUCUCCAUGAUGUGUUUAUUGGUUUCGGUGCCCAUCUCAUGGAAGUGAAAUACUUAUUUUCUAUUCUCUAUUUAAUACUCGGUAUUUUAAAAACGUGUUUAAUUAUGUAAGAGCAGAACAGAAAAAAAAAAGAAGCUGCUCCUUGUAUUUUUUUAUGACAAUUUGACUGCAUUAGAGAGAGGUUAUCAUUUGAUUUCACAGAGGAAUACAAAUUGUAAUUAUUAGACUGUGAAAUGUCCCGAAGCAAAAUUUUCUUACCGUCUUGUUAAAUAUAACUUCUUUAAGUUCUAAACUCUAAUUUGACUAACCAAAGGCAGUGUACUCAUGCAACUACAAAUGUUUAAGACAUUCAGAAGAAAAG
rnacentral:lncRNA from 1 species